rnacentral:rRNA from 1 species
GAUGAACGCUGGCGGCGUGCCUAAUACAUGCAAGUCGAGCGAACGGACGAGAAGCUUGCUUCUCUGAUGUUAGCGGCGGACGGGUGAGUAACACGUGGAUACCCUACCUAUAAGACUGGGAUAACUUCGGGAAACCGGAGCUAAUACCGGAUAAUAUUUUGAACCGCAUGGUUCAAAAGUGAAAGACGGUCUUGCUGUCACUUAUAGAUGGAUCCGCGCUGCAUUAGCUAGUUGGUAAGGUAACGGCUUACCAAGGCAACGAUGCAUAGCCGACCUGAGAGGGUGAUCGGCCACACUGGAACUGAGACACGGUCCAGACUCCUACGGGAGGCAGCAGUAGGGAAUCUUCCGCAAUGGGCGAAAGCCUGACGGAGCAACGCCGCGUGAGUGAUGAAGGUCUUCGGAUCGUAAAACUCUGUUAUUAGGGAAGAACAUAUGUGUAAGUAACUGUGCACAUCUUGACGGUACCUAAUCAGAAAGCCGCGGCUAACUACGUG